CCUACGGGAGGCUGCAGUCGAGAAUCUUCCGCAAUGGGCGAAAGCCUGACGGAGCGACGCCGCGUGAUGGACGAAGUCCUUCGGGACGUAAACAUCUUUUAUGCGUGAGGAAGUUAUUGACGUUAGCGCAUGAAUAAGGGGCUCCUAACUCUGUGCCAGCAGGAGCGGUAAUACAGAGGCCCCAAGCAUUAUCCGGAAUCACUGGGCGUAAAGGGUGUGUAGGCGGCAGUAUUAGUCUUUCGUGAAAGACUUUCGGCUUAACCGAGAGGGCGCGGGGGAAACGGUACUGCUUAGAGGAUGCGAGAGGUGCAUGGAACUCAAGGUGUAGGGGUGAAAUCCGUUGAUAUCUUGGGGAACACCAAAUGCGAAGGCAAUGCACUGGCGCACUCCUGACGCUGAGACACGAAAGCGUGGGUAGCGAACGGGAUUAGAUACCCUUG
rnacentral:rRNA from 1 species